rnacentral:rRNA from 1 species
AUUGAACGCUGGCGGCAUGCUUUACACAUGCAAGUCGGACGGCAGCAUAAAAGAGCUUGCUCUUUUGAUGGCGAGUGGCGAACGGGUGAGUAAUGCAUCGGAACGUACCGAGUAGUGGGGGACAACUGUCCGAAAGGAUGGCUAAUACCGCAUAUUCUCUGAGGAGGAAAGCAGGGGACCUUAGGGCCUUGCGCUAUUUGAGCGGCCGAUGUCUGAUUAGCUAGUUGGUGGGGUAAGAGCCCACCAAGGCGACGAUCAGUAGCGGGUCUGAGGGGAUGAUCCGCCACACUGGGACUGAGACACGGCCCAGACUCCUACGGGAGGCAGCAGUGGGGAAUUUUGGACAAUGGGCGCAAGCCUGAUCCAGCCAUGCCGCGUGUAUGAAGAAGGCCUUCGGGUUGUAAAGUACUUUUGUCAGGGAAGAAAAGCCUGAGGAUAACACCCUCAGGUCAUGACGGUACCUGAAGAAUAAGCACCGGCUAACUACGUGCCAGCCGCCGCUGUAAGAC